UUUCUUAUAAUUAAAAUUAAUAUUCGUCAUUUAAAUUUUUGCCCAACAUUGAAUUUAAUCCUUAGACUGAAAUUCAAGGAAAAUAACGCUUACAAACUUUUGCUAUCAUAAUGUCUCAACAUCUAUAUACGCAUAGACAUGUCCAUUUGUCGCUACAAUAGCCAUCUAUCACAUCAAGCUGUAAGCACAAAUCAACGCAUGCAUCAUAUUUGCAUCCAUGGUCAUAUUUAGCAGUACAGGUGCAUACUUUCAAAUCUUUAUGAUAUGCACCGGAAUCAUCUGUAAAUUGAAAAUUUAUAUUAAAAUACAUUUAAUUUAUUCCAUCUUUUUUCUUAUAUUUUUUUUUUAAUAAUUUUAAUGUUAAACAUGAACCAAAUGAAAUGAAGGUUAAAGAUAAAUGACAAUCAUGAAGAGAGAAAUGAUGAGCUAAAAAACUAGAACGAGGCUUUACAAAUAAAUUUGGGGUUUAAACAUAUAAAUUGAUGAAGAAACUUUUUUAACCAUUCAAAUAUCAUUUCAUUCUUUACAAAUAAUUCGUAUACCCCAGAAAAAAGAUAUGAUAAUUUUAUCAAUAAAAAUUUUGAUUAUGAAGGAAAAGAAUAAUCAUCUAAAACAUUAUACUUUCAUCAGUAUAUAAGUCAAUCAAGAUACUUACAUGUUACCGGACAUGUUGAAAAGUCUGACACAACAACGUGCAUAAUCAUCACCGUAAUCAUGAUACAUAUGUAUAGUUUGAAGUUCAUAUUGUUUUUUAAAAG
rnacentral:lncRNA from 1 species